rnacentral:rRNA from 1 species
UACGAAGGGUGCAAGCGUUACUCGGAAUUACUGGGCGUAAAGCGUGCGUAGGUGGUUCGUUAAGUCUGAUGUGAAAGCCCUGGGCUCAACCUGGGAACUGCAUUGGAUACUGGCGGUCUAGAGUGCGGUAGAGGGUGGCGGAAUUCCCGGUGUAGCAGUGAAAUGCGUAGAUAUCGGGAGGAACAUCAGUGGCGAAAGCGACUUCCUGGACCAGUACCGACGUUCAGGCACGAAAGCGUGGGGAGCAAACAGG